rnacentral:rRNA from 1 species
AUGUCUGCCUCGUCGUCCUCCUCUCUCCCUGUGCCAGCCGAUUUCCCUCUUGAUCUCAUCAGGUGUCCCUUCUGCGGCGCGGAUCUGGAAACCAAUGUAGCAAGAACCGGGAGCAAGGCGGGGCAGCGGUUCUACAAGUGUGUCCGCUAUGAUACGGCCUACGUCAGAAGGAUGACUCCGUACCAGAUCGCCCGUGCUCAGCAGCAAGCGGGGGUGCUCCAGGUCCAGAUGCAGGCAAACCCGGCCGGCAUCGUCGCUCCACCUGCAAACCAGGCUCAGGUCCAGGCGAACCAGGGUCAGAAUCACCCUCUAGCGACGCCGGAGACCGUUUUGGUGAACCAGAUCUUCAGGCCCAUCGCAGCUGCUGCUUCUGGUUCUCAGGCGCUGGGGGCAACAGCUUUCAUCCUUGCCGCUAGCAACAUCAUGCUCACUCUGCUGCUUCUGUUGUUCGUUGUGGCCAUCUAUUUUGGCGGCGGAUGA